rnacentral:rRNA from 1 species
AACUCAAAGGAAUUGACGGGGCCCGCACAAGCGGAGGAGCAUGUGGUUUAAUUCGAUGAUACGCGAGGAACCUUACCUGGGCUCGAACGUAAGAUGACUGUAGGUGAAAGCUUACAUCUCUUCGGAGCAUUUUACGAGGUGCUGCAUGGUUGUCGUCAGCUCGUGCCGUGAGGUGUCGGGUUAAGUCCCAUAACGAGCGCAACCCCUACCUUUAGUUGCCAUCAGGUUAAGCUGGGGACUCUAAAGGAACUGCCUACGCAAGUAGUGAGGAAGGCGGGGAUGACGUCAAAUCAGCACGGCCCUUACGUCCAGGGCUACACACGUGUUACAAUGGCCAGUACAGAGGGCAGCCACCCCGCGAGGGGGCGCUAAUCCUAAAAGCUGGUCCCAGUUCGGAUCGGAGUCUGCAACCCGACUCCGUGAAGCUGGAUUCGCUAGUAAUCGCGCAUCAGCCACGGCGCGGUGAAUACGUUCCCGGGCCUU